GGGCGUUCCCCUUCGGGGGACAGGGUGACAGGUGGUGCAUGGUUGUCGUCAGCUCGUGUCGUGAGAUGUUGGGUUAAGUCCCGCAACGAGCGCAACCCUCGACCUUAGUUGCCAGCAUUCAGUUGGGCACUCUAAGGUGACUGCCGGCUAAAAGUCGGAGGAAGGUGGGAUGACGUCAAAUCAUCAUGCCCCUUAUGACCUGGGCUACACACGUGCUACAAUGGGCGGUACAAAGGGUCGCGAACCCGCGAGGGGGAGCCAAUCCCAAAAAGCCGCUCUCAGUUCGGAUUGCAGGCUGCAACUCGCCUGCAUGAAGCCGGAAUCGCUAGUAAUCGCGGAUCAGCAUGCCGCGGUGAAUACGUUCCCGGGCCUU
rnacentral:rRNA from 1 species